rnacentral:rRNA from 1 species
UACAGAGGGUGCAAGCGUUAAUCGGAUUGACUGGGCGUAAAGGGCGCGUAGGCGGUUAUUUAAGUUGGAUGUGAAACCCCCGGGCUUAACCUGGGACGUGCAUACAAGACUGGAUAACUGGAGUACUGUAGAGGGUAGUGGAAUUUCCGGUGUAGCGGUGAAAUGCGUAGAGAUCGGAAGGAACACCAGUGGCGAAGGCGGCUACCUGGACAGAUACUGACGCUGAGGCGCGAGAGCGCGGUAGCAAACAGG